AUCGUCAUCGUCAUCGUCAUCGUCGUACUCCUCCUCUACCAUUUCCUCUCUCUUCCUCUUAUUCACCGCCUCUCGCGAAAACCCAGAAUUACUCCCCGCAAACCGAUUGACGAUGGUGGGUUUUCGCAGUAUGUAAUUAAUACUCCGCGACUUACUUCUAUACCCGUAAUCCUCUUCCUCUUCUUCUUCCUCGUCGACUUCCACCUCUGCUUCCUCAUUGUCUUCAUCAUCUUCAUCACCAGUGUCAUUAGGAGGUAGAAGAGCCAAAGGCCGUGCAGAGAUAGGCAUCGGUCCCCUUUCCAACGAUUCCAUGAGGUCAAAGUACUGCCAGGAACAAGCGCCGGUGAGAGAGAUACGCCGUCUCUCCUCGCGGAACCGUUUUCGGAGCUUCUCCAUCUUGUGGCGGCACUGAAUGACAGUUUUUGCUGGGUGAUUGUAUUCGUAGCCGCAGCGGGCGGCGACGGUUACAGCCACCUCUUCCCACUGGCUGGCCUUAAGCUGUCCUCGUUUUAAAGAGUACCAUUUUUCCUGGUAAGCUUGGAUUAGGUGGACUGUUUCUUGGUGGGUCCAGGGAACGGGUUGCGGUUUCUUGGUGGAGAGAGGUCUGGGGUUUGAGGGUGGUGACUGUGAUGGUGGUUCUGGUGGCGGAGGUGGAGAGGGAGAUGGGGAUGGUGUGGACAUUGUGGGAGUGAGGAUUAGGUUUUGCUGAGUUUAGGCAUGUGGUUUUUUGUCGUUUGGGUUGGGUGGUGCUAGUGGUGGUGGCGACGGUGGAGGUGGCGGUGGUUGUUGGUAUUAGGUGGGAAGUGUGCCAGCUAAGCUUGGUCCCAGAGGGGUAGGUUAAAUGGACCCGGAACGGGACUCGAGCCCGAAACCUAACCCGGUAUCUGUUUUGAGUCACCCGAGAUGUAACGUUCUGUUUUUUGGACCUUCCACAAGUUCCAUUAUUCAGGCCUAGCACAGGCUUUCUCUUUUGGUUAGGAUUUGCUUUGGAUCAAGAAAGAGGCUUCGCUACUCCACCAAUAAUAAGAAGU
rnacentral:misc_RNA from 1 species